rnacentral:tRNA from 1 species
UUUCAAGGGAUGGGAAUCGAACCCACGACCUUCCGCUUACCGGGCAGAUGCCAUGACCACUAGGCUACCGUGGA